rnacentral:rRNA from 1 species
GACGAACGCUGGCGGCGUGCCUAAUACAUGCAAGUCGAGCGGAGUUUUUAAAAGCUUGCUUUUAAAAACUCAGCGGCGGACGGGUGAGUAACACGUGGGCAACCUGCCCUGUAGACUGGGAUAACUUCGGGAAACCGAAGCUAAUACCGGAUAAUCAUAGAAGUUGCAUAGCUUCUAUGUAAAAGUUGGGUUUACCUAACACUACAGGAUGGGCCCGCGUCGCAUUAGCUAGUUGGUAAGGUAACGGCUUACCAAGGCGACGAUGCGUAGCCGACCUGAGAGGCUUAUCGGCCACACUGGGACUGAGACACGGCCCAGACUCCUACGGGAGGCAGCAGUAGGGAAUGUU